rnacentral:rRNA from 1 species
AUUGAACGCCGGCGGCAUGCCUUACACAUGCAAGUCGAACGGCAGCACGGGAGCAAUCCUGGUGGCGAGUGGCGAACGGGUGAGUAAAGUAUCGGAACGUGCCCAGUCGUGGGGGAUAACGUAGCGAAAGUUACGCUAAUACCGAAUACGAUCUAGGGAUGAAAGCGGGGGAUGGCAAGACAUCGCGCGAGUGGAGCGGGCGGUAUCAGAUUAGGUAGUUGGUGGGGGAAAGGCUCACCAAGCAGACGAUCUGUAGCUGGUCUGAGAGGACGACCAGCCACACUGGGACUGAGGCACGGCCCAGACUCCUACGGGAGGCAGCAGUGGGGAAUUUUGGACAAUAGGCGAAAGCCUGAUCCAGCCAUGCCGCGUGCAGGAUGAAGGCCUUCGGGUUGUAAACUGCUUUUGUACGGAACGAAAAGGUUUGGCCUAAUAAGCUGAGCUCAUGACGGUACCGUAAGAAUACGCACCGGCUAACUACGUGCCAGCCGCCGCAGUAA